rnacentral:lncRNA from 1 species
CUCUGCAAGAUGGUGGUUUGUUCCCAUCUCUCCCACCAAAUGCUGCUACACCAGAGAUGUCUCAUAAGGGAUUUUUUUUUUAAACUUUCUGGAAUAAAUGUUAUUCUGAUAUGUAACUUGUAUCUGUUUUUCUGCUGUUUUUCAGUGCCUGAAGAGAAUGUGAAGACUAAUUUUCUCUUUUUCUCUCUGUUUUUCUCCUUUCUCUUUUUUCUUUCUCUUUCUGUCUCUAUCUCUUUUUAUUCUUCUCUUUUUUCUUCUUUUUAUUCCUCCUAUCCAAUCCCCCACAAAGACAUCCAAAAGAAGCACCAGCCAAAAGAGCUGCACCGACCAGGACAAUUCUCUUGCACAGAACCCAUGUUACGUGGUAGAAACUCAACCGGCUUCCCACUGGGAUGGAGGGAACCACAAAACCAGCCUGUGCCUGACUUUCCCAAAGCCACACAGCCGGGACUGCUUGGGCACAGCCCCAUCCCCGCGCCGUGGGAGUCUCAUCCAGCUUCCUCCUUCCUCCGCCAGCAUCUCGCCACCUCUCCUGCUCCACAACCAGCAAACCAGCCCCAGCCGGGCGGGGAGCCGGGACGAGACGCCUUCCCUCUGUGCCAUAUGGGGUCCUGGGUGUUCAAAGCCUCCUGGAGCAGAAGCAGAGCCCAGCUGUGCCGAGCACGGGGGCUCCUUCCCCGUCACGCGCCCGGCCGCGCCAGAUGUGCUCCUGACGUCCUCCCGAGCCAUGACGCACGAGGAUGCUCAGCGUGCUCCCCGGCGUGCCACCACGCUCCACAAUGUCCCCAGGGUGAGCCGUGGUGCCAGGGGGACAAGGGGACUCAUCCUGCCUCUGCCCACCUCUGGAUGGGGUUUUGGAGGGGUUCCUGCAGCCAGGGAAGGCAGCUCGUGGCUGCGGAUGGAGAGCCGCUUCAUUCUCUUACCCCAGCAAAAUCUGGUCCGCAUUAAAAAUAGCAGAAACUCUCCCAAACCCACUGUGUUUAAAUAAUGUUAAAGAUCUGACUGAAAGCAUCGAGAGCAAAUUCCAAGGCCUAAUGAAGAAGGAUUGUCUGGCAUGGUAAUAAUAAUAAACUCGGUGCACAUAUGUAUGUAUGCA